rnacentral:rRNA from 1 species
UACGUAGGAGGCAAGCGUUGUCCGGAAUUACUGGGCGUAAAGCGCGUGUAGGUGGUGGGACAAGUCUGAUGUGAAAUCUCGAGGCUCAACCUCGAGCGGCCAUUGGAAACUGGGAGACUUGAGUGCAGAAGAGGAGAGUGGAAUUCCAUGUGUAGCGGUGAAAUGCGUAGAUAUAUGGAGGAACACCAGUGGCGAAGGCGACUCUCUGGUCUGUAGCUGACGCUGAGGCGCGAAAGCGUGGGGAGGCAAACAGG